rnacentral:rRNA from 1 species
GAUGAACGCUGGCGGCGUGCCUAAUACAUGCAAGUCGAGCGAACGGACGAGAAGUUUGUUUUUCUGACGUUAGCGGCGGACGGGUGAGUAACAUGUGGAUAACCCACUUAUAAGACUGGGAUCAUCUCGGGAAACCGGAGCUAAUACCGGAUAAUAUUCUGAACCGUAUGGUUCAAAAGUGAAAGACGGCCUUGCUGUCACUUAUAGAUGGAUCUGCGCUGCAUUAGCUAGUUGGUAAGGUAACGGCCUAUCAAGGCGACGAUGCAUAGCCGACCUGAGAGGGUGAUCGGCCGCACGAGAGCGUGGACGCGGUCCAUGCUCCUACGAGACGCAGCAGUAGGCUAUCUUCCGCAGUAGGCGAGAGCCUUGCAGAGCGGCGCCACGUGAGUUGUAGAGAUCUUCGGAUCGUGAAGCUCUGUUAUUGGUGGAGAACAUAUGUGGAAGUAGCUGUACACAUCUUGACGGUACCGAGUCAGGAAGCCACGGCUAACUACGUG